CCUCAGUAGAUCGUCCUGACCUCCAGCUGCAGCAAGCAUCACUAGUGUCAUCCCACUUGAAUCCUUCAUUAGUUUUGUGUCCAGUUCUUGGCAGAGAAGGACCUGUGCUCCCAGUUAGCAUAGUCAAGCAGGAUCAAAGAGUAAGUACUCCAACAGUUAUAAAAUUUUACAACUUCGAUGUAUUAUGUUCUAAAGGCACAUCAAUACAUUGCACAAAUCUUGAAGCUAUCUAGAUGGCAAAGGUAUUUAUCUCAAAUUUCAGGUCUAAAAGUUUCCUUGUGUUCUAGGCAAAACUCAUACAUUGAUUAUAUUCAUUUAGUUGGCCCAAAGAUGUAAGGUUAGAAAUGACCGCUGGUCACCUAAGCCCAGUGUAUUGAGGACACAAUGAAAUGAAUGUAAUUUGGGUUAAAAAACCAUUGCUAACUGCUUGGAAAUAAGAGUUUGACUGCUCUAAGGAUAAAAAAGAUUCAUAAGUAAGGAACAACACUGAUAUGAAAAAAGUGAGUAAAACAACUGCUUUGAAUAAGAUAAAAUUACGUAAAGUUGGUGAAUAAUAAAAAGGUAACUAUUAGCUAAAAUUAUUUCCAAUUGCUAGUUAAAACGAACACCAGAUGAGAAAACCAAACCAUUAAUUACCAUCUGAUACAACCAAAUUCCAAUAGUAUGAAUUAAUUUGGUUAUAAUCUGAAAGUUUUAGCAGAAUUUGCCAGUAUGAGUAAUCUGAGGGAACACUAAUGUAAGAAAAAUUAUUUCUAGCAAUAGCACUUUCUCUAGAUUUGUAAAAAUCUAACUUUAGAAAGUUCCCUGCAUGCAUCUCACAAAGACUGGGUGAGUUGGAGAGUAGGGGCCAUAGUCAGGGUGAUGGGAGGAGGAGGAGGAGGCAGUGGCAGCAAAUAAAUGGCUCUGAAGCAGGACCAAGUCUGAAUUUCAGGAGGGUUAGUGAGUGCUGUGCUUUCAUAGGCCUCCCCUUUU